rfam:Clostridium sp. BL8 Contig222, whole genome shotgun sequence.
GGUCAAGCUACAAAGGGCGCAUGGUGAAUGCCUUGGCACUAGGAGCCGAAGAAGGACGUGAUAAGCUGCGAUAAGCUUUGGGUAGGCGCAAAUAGCCAGUGAUCCAGAGAUUUCCGAAUGGGGCAACCCCCAUAGUUAACACUAUGGACUAUAUACUGAAUACAUAGGUAUGUAGAGGUAAACCCGGGGAACUGAAACAUCUAAGUACCCGGAGGAAGAGAAAGAAACAUCGAUUUCCUAAGUAGCGGCGAGCGAAAGGGAAAGAGCCCAAACCUAAGCCUUUGGCUUAGGGGUUGAGGACAGAUCAUAAAAUUGCUGAUUUCUUAGUUGAAGAUAGCUGGAAAGCUACUCCGUAGAAGGUAAUAGACCUGUAAACGAAAGGAAAUAGGCAAGAGAUCUGAUCCAGAGUACCACGAGACACGUGAAACCUUGUGGGAAGCAGGGAGGACCACCUCCCAAGGCUAAAUACUACCUAGUGACCGAUAGUGAAGAAGUACCGUGAGGGAAAGGUGAAAAGAACCCCGGGAGGGGAGUGAAAUAGAACCUGAAACCGUGUGCCUACAACCGGUGGAAGCACUUUAUAUGUGUGACCACGUGCUUUUUGUAGAACGAGCCAACGAGUUACGAUAUGUAGCGAGGUUAAGUACUUAAGGUACGGAGCCGAAGGGAAACCGAGUCUGAAUAGGGCGCAAAGUUGCAUGUCGUAGACCCGAAACCGGGUGACCUAUCCAUGGCCAGGAUGAAGCGAGAGUAAAAUCUCGUGGAGGUCCGAACCACGUUGGUGUUGAAAAACCAUGGGAUGAGCUGUGGAUAGCGGAGAAAUUCCAAUCGAACUCGGAGAUAGCUGGUUCUCCUCGAAAUAGCUUUAGGCGUAGCGUCGAUUAACUGAGUAAUGGAGGUAGAGCACUGAAUAGGCUAGGGGGCAUAUCGCUUACCGAACCUUAUCAAACUCCGAAUGCCAUAUACUUUUAUUUCGGCAGUCAGACUGCGAAUGAUAAGAUCCGUAGUCAAAAGGGAAACAGCCCAGACCAUCAGCUAAGGUCCCAAAGUGUAAGUUAAGUGGUAAAGGAUGUGGGAUUUCUAAGACAACUAGGAUGUUGGCUUAGAAGCAGCCACUCAUUUAAAGAGUGCGUAAUAGCUCACUAGUCAAGAGAUCCCGCGCCGAAGAUGUCCGGGGCUAAAACUUACCACCGAAGCUAUGGAUGUACACUAUGUGUACGUGGUAGAGGAGCUUUCUGCAUUGGCUGAAGUCAUACCGUAAGGAGUGGUGGACGAUGCAGAAGUGAGAAUGUUGGCAUAAGUAGCGAGAGCUAGGUGAGAAUCCUAGCGGUCGAAAACCUAAGGUUUCCUGAGGAAGGCUCGUCCUCUCAGGGUUAGUCGGGACCUAAGCCGAGGCCGAAAGGCGUAGGUGAUGGACAACUGGUUGAUAUUCCAGUACUACCAACUGACGUUAUCAGAAAUGGGGUGACGCAGGAGGAUAGGAUGUGCACACUGUUGGAUGUGUGUCUAAGCGUUUAGGAGUAGCUGGCAGGCAAAUCCGCCAGCCGAAUCUGAGGCGUGAUGGGGAGCUCGUAUGAGCGAAGUAUCUGAUUCCACGCUGCCAAGAAAAGCCUCUAUCGAGGAAGUUGGUACCCGUACCGCAAACCGACACAGGUAGGUGAGGAGAGAAUCCUAAGACCAUCGGAAGAAUUGCUGUUAAGGAACUCGGCAAAUUGACCCCGUAACUUCGGGAGAAGGGGUGCCACCGAAAGGUGGUCGCAGAGAAUAGGCCCAAGCAACUGUUUAGCAAAAACACAGGUCUCUGCUAAAGCGAAAGCUGAUGUAUAGGGGCUGACGCCUGCCCGGUGCUGGAAGGUUAAGGGGAUCACUUAGCGCAAGCGAAGGUGUGAACUUAAGCCCCAGUAAACGGCGGCCGUAACUAUAACGGUCCUAAGGUAGCGAAAUUCCUUGUCGGGUAAGUUCCGACCCGCACGAAUGGCGUAAUGAUUUGGGCACUGUCUCAACAGCAAAUCCGGCGAAAUUGUAGUGCAAGUGAAGAUGCUUGCUACCGCGAUUGGACGGAAAGACCCCGUAGAGCUUUACUGUAGCUUAGCAUUGAAUUUCGGUAUUGUCUGUACAGGAUAGGUGGGAGACUGAGAAACUGGGCCGUCAGGUUCAGUGGAGUCGUCCUUGGGAUACCACCCUGACAGUACUGGGAUUCUAACUGGAGGCCAUGAAUCUGGUCACAGGACAUUGUUAGGUGCUGA